rnacentral:rRNA from 1 species
UACGUAGGGCGCAAGCGUUAUCCGGAAUUAUUGGGCGUAAAGAGCUCGUAGGCGGUUUGUCGCGUCUGCCGUGAAAGUCCGGGGCUCAACUCCGGAUCUGCGGUGGGUACGGGCAGACUAGAGUGAUGUAGGGGAGACUGGAAUUCCUGGUGUAGCGGUGAAAUGCGCAGAUAUCAAGAGGAACACCUGCGGCGAAGGCGGGUUGCUGGGCCGACACUGACGCUGAGGCGCGAAAGCCAGGGGAGCGAACGGG